UACAGAGGUCCCAAGCGUUGUUCGGAUUUACUGGGCGUAAAGGGCGCGCAGGCGGCCGCUCAAGUCAGGCGUGAAAGCCCCGGGCUUAACCUGGGAACUGCGUCUGGGACUGAGUGGCUAGAGUUCGGGAGAGGAGAGUGGAAUUCCCAGUGUAGAGGUGAAAUUCGUAGAUAUCGGGAGGAACACCGGUGGCGAAGGCGGCGAUCUGGGUCGAUACUGACGCUGAGGUGCGAAAGCGUGGGGAGCAAACAGG
rnacentral:rRNA from 1 species